rnacentral:rRNA from 1 species
UACGUAGGGUGCGAGCGUUGUCCGGACUUACUGGGCGUAAAGGGUGCGUAGGCGGCCUGCUGCGUCGGUGCUGAAAGCGCCCGGCUUAACCGGGCGAGGCGUGCCGAUACGAGCGGGCUGGAGCCUUGGCGAGGGUGGCGGAACUCCUGGUGUAGUGGUGAAAUGCGUAGAGAUCAGGAAGAACACCCGUGGCGCAAGCGGCCACCUGGCCAAGACGCUGACGCUGAGGCACGAGAGCGUGGGGAGCGA